GGGGGGGAACAGCCCGCCCGGCGGCGGGGACGCGGGGAGACCAGAGGCCCCCCCCCCGCCGGUACCGGCCCGCAGCAGGUGAGCGCGGGGCACGGACGAAAGCCCCUCUCCGCCCGGCUCGGGCGGCGAGAGGGGGCCAGGCGGAGCCGCUGCCGCAGCGCUGGGGCGGGGCCACGUGCCCUUCCUUCCCCGGGCCCAGGAGGAGCCCGAGCGGCGGCGCGGCUGGGCGGUGCCAGGCAGGGGGCACUGAGGACAUAGAGCAAGGUGCUGGCUUGCGGCGCUCGGUUUCCUGGAAGCGGAGCGAGCGAGGGGGUGCAAAGGGUCCGUGCCGUUGCUACGGGCGCGCCGCUCGCCCGCUUCCUGCCGCUCCCCGGUCCCGGAGCUUGGUCCAGCGGCAGCCGCAGCCAGCUCGGCCAGAGACCGGACUCCGCUGCUUUCUUUCCCAGCUUGGAAGCCGGUGCAAGAGCUCGUGCCAUUCAGAUCCCGCUGGAGCCGGGCAGCCGCUGGCGCUCAGCUUCUCCUGCCGCGCAAGGUCUAACUGUAUAGAAUGGCACCUGGUAUAACAGCUGAGAAGAAGACUGAGGAUGAACAGUCGUCAAAAAACAACUUAAUUCAUCUCUCCAACCCUCACCUUGAGAAAAUGAAAGACGAUAUCCUGUACCAUUUUGCUCUUGGGACUAGCACCCAUGAUUUUCCUGCCUUGUUUGGAGAUGUAAAGUUUGUAUGUGUUGGAGGAAGCCCUUCACGGAUGAAAGGUUUUAUCACCUACAUAGCUGAAGAGCUCGGACUUGGGAGCGUUGGUGCUGACUAUCCCAACAUCUGUGAAGGAACUGACCGUUACACGAUGUACAAAGUAGGACCCGUGUUAUCAGUCAGUCAUGGUAUGGGCAUUCCCUCUAUUGCAAUCAUGUUACAUGAGUUGAUGAAGCUGUUGUAUCACUCCAAGUGUUCCAACGUAACCAUUAUUCGCAUUGGCACCUCAGGUGGAAUAGGUCUGGAGCCAGGCUCAGUGGUAAUAACCAGUCAAUCAGUGGAUGCUACCUUCAAGCCUCAAUUUGAACAGGUUAUUUUAGGAAAGACUAUAAUUCGUAGUACCAAACUAGAUGACCAACUAGCCAAGGAACUGAUGCAGUGCAGUAAGGAGAUAAAUCAGUUCAAUACAGUCAUUGGAAAUACUAUGUGCACUUUGGAUUUCUAUGAAGGCCAAGCCCGUCUGGAUGGUGCAAUCUGCUUAUAUACUGAAGAAGAGAAAUUGCAGUAUUUGAAGGCAGCUUAUGAUGCUGGAGUCCGAAACAUUGAGAUGGAAUCUUCAGUUUUUGCUGCUAUUUGUAAUCUUAGUGGUGUCAGAGCUGCUGUGGUGUGUGUCACACUUCUGAAUCGACUUGAAGGGGAUCAGAUUAGCAGCUUGCAUGAUGUACUUGUGGAGUAUCAGCAGAGACCGCUGAAAUUAGUGGGACACUUUAUUAAGAAGUGCCUUGGGAAAGAGUGAUGUACCCACCCUUUGCUGAUUAUUAGCAGAAGGUCCAGAGCAAGCAAGGAGCCACACCAGUAAACAAACCAAAAUUACAAGCCAGGCAAAGCAAACCAAACAUCUCACCAUUCGUCACUUUUUAAUGGGAAGCUGCAAUAGAACUUUCCUUGCAAUAUUGCAUUGCAAACACAAGAGGGAGCUACACAACCUUAUAAAUACUACUUACAAGGCUUACCCCCUAUUUAUCUCCCAUGAUCGAAAAUGGAAUCCAACAACAGCUGUGUUUUCUCCUGGUUCUAGAGAAAACUUUGCCAGAAACAUUGCCCAAGGAUAAGAACUACCCAGUAUCUGCUUAUGAAGCUGACUAGACAGAGGAAGGAAGAAGUCAUGCUGCAGCAUGCACCUGCCUUCAAGGUAUUCAUCGUUAUCUUUCCCCUAGGUUUUACAUAUUAAAGCCCUUCAUUGAGCCAAUGUACUCAAACUGUUAUUUUUAAACUACCCUUCUAACAGAUCCAUCCCUUAGGCUUCCACAUAUUCUACCACAUGCCAUAUCAAUUUGCUGCAGUUGAAGAGGGGCAGUAUCAAUGGUGAGGUCUGUUGUUCUUAAAGGCCCAGGGAGCUUGUACUUACCAGUGAAGUUAAUUUACAUGCCACAGCAGCAAGAUCCUGAUGUAACCUGAUGUAAGUUUGUUUGGUGCUCUGCAGUCCACAGCCCUCCUUCCAAAGUGGAGGAUGGCCUUGGUCUCUGCAGCCACACCCUCACACAACAAUGGUAGAUACUCCCUACAGGAAGGAGGCACAGAAUCAGUAUGCUGGAGGAGACAGGGGAUACACUGGCUGGUAGAAGGUCUGGCUUAGAGGGUCAACUGAAUAAAGGAAUGAGGAGGGGGCAAUGUCAAAUGAUCAACUGAUUGGUGGGGUCUUGGGAGACAAAAAAUUGAUGGGAUGGGAAUGGCUGUGAGGAUGGGUUUCUUGGGAGCACAUGGGAGGCCCUAGGGCAAAGAACAAAUCAAAGGGUAGCGAAGUCAGGGGAAAGAUAACAGAACAUGGGGCUGGGUGCAAGCAGGAAGACACUUAAAGAUAGAAAGAGAUGGGGGGGCGUUUCCUAUUUUCCACUACUUUGCACAUUGUGUAGUCAGCCGGUCACCAGUCACUAUGAGUGAGUGAAGAAUUCUGAUCUGGUAACAUUUCAUACCCACUUAGCACAGGUGUAAAAGCCAACCCAAGAGUCAAGCCAGUGGAGGAUCAGGAUCAGAUUGAACAAGAUAAAGUAAGCAAAGGAACAAAUAUAAGAGGAGAUGAGAGUUCAGAAGAAAGUGAGGUCCAUCAAGAGUGAGUGAGAUGGAAAAGAAGGGGUUUGGAGGGGCAAUGUGAAUGAAAGCGAUCUGCAAGAAACACACAGAGGGAAAGGGACAGGCAGAUAAGAAAGGGAAAAAUGAGUGAAGAAAGUUUUCUGGGGAAGAUAAAAUGAUGGGAGACAAUUUCAAGUUUUAAUGAACACAGAUUAAUGGCAAAAUAUUAUAUAAUCAAAUACUGGUAUGGUGCUUGUGGGAUGAGUGGGGAAUAGGAACAAGGCAUGAGAAUCUCUUGUUCCUACCAAACAUAUGAGAAACCAGCCAAAACCCCCACAUUUUAUUGAAAAAAAUCAAAAAGAGAACACAAACAAGUGUUGGCAGUGCAUUCUACAGGAGUUUUGAAUAUGGUUUAGUGUCUGACGGGCAAAAUUGUGUUUGAGGGAGUUUAAGUGAAAAAUAUAUAAAUGUCCACUAGGUGGUAACUGCCAAAAUCUUACUGAAAAAAGUCCUUUACACAAAAGGAAUUACAGUAGAGUAGAUGCUCCUUCCUAGCAACAAAUCAGUGGCCUUUUGCUAUGUCCUAAGCAGCCGUUGUUAUGGGGAGUGUCGUCUGACCAAAGGCAUAU